rnacentral:rRNA from 1 species
UAGGGAAUCUUCGGCAAUGGGGGGAACCCUGACCGAGCAACGCCGCGUGAGUGAAGAAGGUUUUCGGAUCGUAAAGCUCUGUUGUUAAGGAAGAACGAGUGUGAGAAUGGAAAGUUCAUACUGUGACGGUACUUAACCAGAAAGGGACGGCUAACUACGUGCCAGCAGCCGCGGUAAUACGUAGGUCCCGAGCGUUGUCCGGAUUUAUUGGGCGUAAAGCGAGCGCAGGCGGUUAGAUAAGUCUGAAGUUAAAGGCGGUGGCUCAACCAUUGUAGGCUUUGGAAGCUGUUUAACUUGAGUGCAGAAGGGGAGAGUGGAAUUCCAGGUGUAGCGGUGAAAUGCGUAGAUAUAUGGAGGAACACCGGUGGCGAAAGCGGCUCUCUGGUCUGUAACUGUCGCUGAGGCUCGAAAGCGUGGGGAGCGAACAGG